UGGCGGACGGGUGAGAAAUGUAUCGGAACGUGCCCAGUAGCGGGGGAUAACUACGCGAAAGCGUAGCUAAUACCGCAUACGCCCUACGGGGGAAAGCAGGGGAUCGCAAGACCUCGCACUAUUGGAGCGGCCGAUAUCGGAUUAGCUAGUUGGUGGGGUAACGGCUCACCAAGGCGACGAUCCGUAGCUGGUUUGAGGGGACGACCAGCCACACUGGGACUGAGACACGGCCCAGACUCCUGCGGGAGGCAGCAGUGGGGAAUAUUGCACAAUGGGCGAAAGCCUGAUGCAGCGACGCCGCGUGAGGGAUGAAGGCCUUCGGGUUGUAAACCUCUUUCGUCAGGGAAGAAGCCUUUCGGGGUGACGGUACCUGGAGAAGAAGCACCGGCUAACUACGUGCCAGCAGCCGCGGUAAUA
rnacentral:rRNA from 1 species